GAUGAACGCUAGCUACAGGCUUAACACAUGCAAGUCGAGGGGCAGCAUGGUGGAUGCUUGCAUUCACCGAUGGCGACCGGCGUAUGGGUGAGUAACGCGUAUCCAACCUGGCGUGCACACCGGCACAGCCCCUGGAAACGGGGAUUAAUUCCGGAUGGUGUGGAUUAGGCGCAUGCCUAUUCCACUAAAGGUAUUCCGGUGCACGAUGGGGAUGCGUUCCAUUAGGCAGUUGGCGGGGUAACGGCCCACCAAGCCUUCGAUGGAUAGGGGUUCUGAGAGGAAGGUCCCCCACACUGGAACUGGAGACGACGGU
rnacentral:rRNA from 1 species